rnacentral:tRNA from 1 species
CCUUCGAUAGCUCAGUUGGUAGAGCGGUGGACUGUAGUUGGUUGAUUCUUGGAAGAGACAUCCAUAGGUCGCUGGUUCGAAUCCGGCUCGAAGGA